rnacentral:rRNA from 1 species
GACGAACGCUGGCGGCGUGCUUAACACAUGCAAGUCGAACGGAAAGGCCCUGCUUUUGUGGGGUGCUCGAGUGGCGAACGGGUGAGUAACACGUGAGUAACCUGCCCUUGACUUUGGGAUAACUUCAGGAAACUGGGGCUAAUACCGGAUAGGAGCUCCUGCUGCAUGGUGGGGGUUGGAAAGUUUCGGCGGUUGGGGAUGGACUCGCGGCUUAUCAGCUUGUUGGUGGGGUAGUGGCUUACCAAGGCUUUGACGGGUAGCCGGCCUGAGAGGGUGACCGGCCACAUUGGGACUGAGAUACGGCCCAGACUCCUACGGGAGGCAGCAGUGGGGAAUAUUGCACAAUGGGCGGAAGCCUGAUGCAGCAACGCCGCGUGCGGGAUGACGGCCUUCGGGUUGUAAACCGCUUUCGCCUGUGACGAGGCGUGAGUGACGGUAAUGGGUAAAGAAACACCGGCUAACUACGU